ACUGAUUGAUGGUGCUUGCACCUGAUUGACGAUGGAUCACCAGUGAGUGGCGGACGGGUGAGUAACACGUAGGUAACCUGCCCCGGAGCGGGGGAUAACAUUUGGAAACAGAUGCUAAUACCGCAUAACAACAAAAGCCACAUGGCUUUUGUUUGAAAGAUGGCUUUGGCUAUCACUCUGGGAUGGACCUGCGGUGCAUUAGCUAGUUGGUAAGGUAACGGCUUACCAAGGCGAUGAUGCAUAGCCGAGUUGAGAGACUGAUCGGCCACAAUGGAACUGAGACACGGUCCAUACUCCUACGGGAGGCAGCAGUAGGGAAUCUUCCACAAUGGGCGCAAGCCUGAUGGAGCAACACCGCGUGAGUGAAGAAGGGUUUCGGCUCGUAAAGCUCUGUUGUUGG
rnacentral:rRNA from 2 species